GAUGAACGCUGGCGGCGUGCUUAACACAUGCAAGUCGAACGAUGAAGCCCAGCUUACUGGGUGGAUUAGUGGCGAACGGGUGAGUAACACGUGAGUAACCUGCCCUUAACUCUGGGAUAAGCCUGGGAAACUGGGUCUAAUACCGGAUAGGAGCGUCCACCGCAUGGUGGGUGUUGGAAAGAUUUAUCGGUUUUGGAUGGACUCGCGGCCUAUCAGCUUGUUGGUGAGGUAAUGGCUCACCAAGGCGACGACGGGUAGCCGGCCUGAGAGGGUGACCGGCCACACUGGGACUGAGACACGGCCCAGACUCCUACGGGAGGCAGCAGUGGGGAAUAUUGCACAAUGGGCGCAAGCCUGAUGCAGCGACGCCGCGUGAGGGAUGACGGCCUUCGGGUUGUAAACCUCUUUCAGUAGGGAAGAAGCGAAAGUGACGGUACCUGCAGAAGAAGCACCGGCUAACUACGUG
rnacentral:rRNA from 1 species